GUAUGGAGUGUGCAUGUGCGGCAUCCUGUGCAUGCACACUCUGUACAGGAUGCCGCACAUGCACAGUCCGUAC